UCAGGCCUAACACAUGCAAGUCGAGCGGCAGCGGGAAAGUAGCUUGCUACUUUUGCCGGCGAGCGGCGGACGGGUGAGUAAUGCCUGGGAAAUUGCCCAGUCGAGGGGGAUAACAGUUGGAAACGACUGCUAAUACCGCAUACGCCCUACGGGGGGAAAGCAGGGGACCUUCGGGCCUUGCGCGAUUGGAUAUGCCCAGGUGGGAUUAGCUAGUUGGUGAGGUAAUGGCUCACCAAGGCGACGAUCCCUAGCUGGUCUGAGAGGAUGAUCAGCCACACUGGAACUGAGACACGGUCCAGGCUCCUACGGGAGGCAGCAGUGGGGAAUAUUGCACAAUGGGGGAAACCCUGAUGCAGCCAUGCCGCGUGUGUGAAGAAGGCCUUCGGGUUGUAAAGCACUUUGAGCGAGGAGGAAAGGUCAGUAGCUAAUAUCUGCUGA
rnacentral:rRNA from 1 species